rnacentral:tRNA from 1 species
GUUAAUGUAGCUUAAAUAAAAGCAAAGCGCUGAAAAUGCUUAGAUGGACUCUAAGUCCCACUAAC